rnacentral:rRNA from 1 species
AGUGGCGGACGGGUGAGUAACGCGUGAGAAUCUGCCUUGGGGUCGGGGACAACCACUGGAAACGGUGGCUAAUACCGGAUAAGCCGAUUGGUGAAAGAUUUAUUGCCCGAAGAGGAGCUCGCGUCUGAUUAGCUAGUUGGUGAGGUAAGAGCUCACCAAGGCAGCGAUCAGUAGCUGGUCUGAGAGGACGAUCAGCCACACUGGGACUGAGACACGGCCCAGACUCCUACGGGAGGCAGCAGUGGGGAAUUUUCCGCAAUGGGCGAAAGCCUGACGGAGCAAGACCGCGUGAGGGAGGAAGGCUCUUGGGUUGUAAACCUUUUUUCUCAGGGAAGAAGCUCUGACGGUACCUGAGGAAUCAGCCUCGGCUAACUCCGUGCCAGCAGCCGCGGUAAUACGGAGGAGGCAAGCGUUAUCCGGAAUUAUUGGGCGUAAAGCGUCCGCAGGUGGCGAUUCAAGUCUGCUGUCAAAGCACGGGGCUUAACUCCGUAAAGGCAGUGGAAACUGAAUAGCUAGAGUGCCGUAGGGGUAGAGGGAAUUCCCGGUGUAGCGGUGAAAUGCGUAGAGAUCGGGAAGAACAUCGGUGGCGAAAGCGCUCUACUGGACGGCAACUGACACUCAGGGACGAAAGCUAGGGGAGCGAAUGGGAUUAGAUACCCC